UCCUGUACGAAGACUGCUAAAAC
rnacentral:piRNA from 1 species